AACGUAGGUGGCGAGCGUUAUCCGGAUUUACUGGGCGUAAAGGGUGUGCAGGCGGGUCGUCAAGUGGUGUAUGAAAGCGCUGCGCUCAACGCAGCGCGGUUAUGCCAGACUGACGGUCUUGAGUGCGAGAGAGGGGCGUGGAAUUCCGGGUGUAGUGGUGAAAUGCGUAGAGAUCCGGAGGAACCCCAGAGGCGAAGGCGGCGCCCUGGCUCGCAACUGACGCUCAGCCACGACAGCAUGGGGAGCGAACGGG
rnacentral:rRNA from 1 species